rnacentral:rRNA from 1 species
GACGAACGCUGGCGGCGUGCCUAAUACAUGCAAGUAGAACGCACAGUUUAUACCGUAGCUUGCUCCACCAUAGACUGUGAGUUGCGAACGGGUGAGUAACGCGUAGGUAACCUGCCUGGUAGCGGGGGAUAACUAUUGGAAACGAUAGCUAAUACCGCAUAAUAUUGAUUAUUGCAUGAUAAUUAAUUGAAAGGUGCAAUUGCACCACUACCAGAUGGACCUGCGUUGUAUUAGCUAGUAGGUGAGGUAACGGCUCACCUAGGCGACGAUACAUAGCCGACCUGAGAGGGUGAUCGGCCACACUGGGACUGAGACACGGCCCAGACUCCUACGGGAGGCAGCAGUAGGGAAUCUUCGGCAAUGGACGAAAGUCUGACCGAGCAACGCCGCGUGAGUGAAGAAGGUUUUCGGAUCGUAAAGCUCUGUUGUAAGAGAAGAACGGGUGUGAGAGUGGAAAGUUCACACUGUGACGGUAUCUUACCAGAAAGGGACGGCUAACUACGUG